AAUACCAAAACGUUAUAAAUGAAGUCAUUUAACUUUUAAAAUGAAUACUUUAAAAAUAUACAUCAAGCUCAUUCUCGGACAUAUCCAAUCGAUUAAUCCAACACCUUUGAUCUCUUUCUACCCCCAAAUACUUAACCAUACAUUUCUUGCACAACUCCCCCAUGUGUGACAUCUCACCAUACAUCUUAUCAUCACUCAUUCCUUAUGCGGUGCCAAAAAAUCCUUGUGAAUUAUCUAUUUAAUGGGUUUGUUUUGUCAAUGUGCAGCAGAUGAUGAGUGCAUCAUAAUUGGCCACAAGUUCGCAUUACAGACAUUAAUAGGAGUUCGUCGAUUGCAUCAACAACAUCUAAGGAGAAGAUGGUGCCAGCAUUAAUUACAACAAUGGCACAAUAGUAAUAUUAAAUUAUGUCGAGAUGGUUGAGGUCAAUGUUAAUGUCGAUGAUGAGAGUAAGAGCAACAAGAGACACAUGGUAUCAACAAGGACAAUGAAGUUGUCAAAGGAGAGGAUGGCCUUGUCAAAAUGAGAAUGGUUGCCAAAGAAUAUGAAUGUUAGUGGAUAUUUUAGAAGCAUGACUUUAGGGAGUGUGGGAGAUAAAGUGUUUUGAUCCAUUUAUGAUUGAAAUUUUCAAAAGAUAUUAC
rnacentral:lncRNA from 1 species